UACGUAGGGUGCGAGCGUUGUCCGGAAUUAUUGGGCGUAAAGAGCUCGUAGGCGGUGUGUCACGUCGUUCGUGAAAACCUGCAGCUUAACUGUGGGCGUGCGGUCGAUACGGGCAUCACUGGAGUUCGGCAGGGGAGACUGGAAUUCCUGGUGCAGCGGUGAAAUGCGCAGAUAUCAGGAGGAACACCGGUGGCGAAGGCGGGUCUCUGGGCCGAUACUGACGCUGAGGAGCGAAAGCGUGGGGAGCGAACAGG
rnacentral:rRNA from 1 species